GAUGAACGCUAGCGACAGGCUUAACACAUGCAAGUCGAGGGGCAGCAUGUCGGUUGCUUGCAACCGAUGAUGGCGACCGGCGCACGGGUGAGUAACGCGUAUCCAACCUGCCCUUCACCACGGAAUAAUCCAGUGAAAAUUGGUCUAAUACCGUAUGAGGUCAUACGAUGGCAUCAGAAUAUGAACGAAAGGUUUGGCGGUGAAGGAUGGGGAUGCGUCUGAUUAGCUUGUUGGUGAGGUAACGGCUCACCAAGGCGACGAUCAGUAGGGGUUCUGAGAGGAAGGUCCCCCCACAUUGGAACUGAGACACGGUCCAAACUCCUACGGGAGGCAGCAGUGAGGAAUAUUGGUCAAUGGGCGAGAGCCUGACCAGCCAAGUAGCGUGCAGGAUGACGGCCCUAUGGGUUGUAAACUGCUUUAUAAGGGAAUAAAGUGAGCCUCGUGAGGCUUUUUGCAUGUACCUUAUGAAUAAGGACCGGCUAAUUCCGUG
rnacentral:rRNA from 1 species